rnacentral:rRNA from 1 species
GAGGAAUAUUGGUCAAUGGGCGCAAGCCUGAACCAGCCAUCCCGCGUGCAGGAAGACGGCCCUAUGGGUUGUAAACUGCUUUUCCAGGGGGAGAAACUUGCGCACGUGUUGCGCAAUUGACGGUACCCUGGGAAUAAGCAUCGGCUAACUGCGUGCCAGCAGCCGCGGUAAUACGGAGGAUGCGAGCGUUAUCCGGAUUCAUUGGGUUUAAAGGGUGCGUAGGCGGACUAUUAAGUCAGUGGUGAAAUCCUGCAGCUUAACUGCAGAACUGCCAUUGAUACUGAUAGCCUUGAGUUUGGUUAAGGUAGGCGGAAUGUGUAAUGUAGCGGUGAAAUGCUUAGAUAUUACACAGAACACCAAUUGCGUAGGCAGCUUACUGAGCCGACACUGACGCUGAGGCACGAAAGCGUGGGGAUCGAACAG